rnacentral:rRNA from 1 species
UUUUAGAGUUUGUUCAUGGCUCAGAACGAACGCUGGCGGCAGGCCUAACACAUGCAAGUCGAGCGCACCCUUCGGGGCGAGCGGCGGACGGGUUAGUAACGCGUGGGAACAUACCCUUUGGUACGGAAUAGCCUCUGGAAACGGAGAGUAAUACCGUAUGAGCCCUUCGGGGGAAAGAUUUAUCGCCAAAGGAUUGGCCCGCGUAAGAUUAGAUAGUUGGUGGGGUAAUGGCCUACCGGGUCUACGAUCUUUAGCUGGUUUUAGAGGAUGAUCAGCAACACUGGGACUGAGACACGGCCCAGACUCCUACGGGAGGCAGCAGUGGGGAAUCGGGACAAUGGGCGCAAGCCUGAUCUAGCCAUGCCGCGUGUGUGCUUUUGGCCUUAGGGGCAAAAAGCACUUUCGCCAUGGGAUGAUAAUUAACAGACCUGGAAAGAACC